rnacentral:misc_RNA from 1 species
UCUUAAGUUGCCCAGCAAACUAACCAACCCACUUUCUCCAGUCUUCUGUCAAGAUGAUUGUAGGUGUGGAAGAGAUGUCAUUGGAAGCUAAAGCAUUGGGACACUCUGGAAUUGCCGGAGCAGUGCCUCUCUCAUUCCGUCGCUCUUUUUCUUCAUUCCCCACUCGUUUGUCGUUCCACACUGCCGUUCCUCCCCAAACCCGCCGAUUCCAAUCCUUGGCGGUUAUUAAGAGAAGUCCUAAACGCCUCAAAUACUCGGCUCCUCGCUUAACUAAGAUGGAUUGCUCUAUGUUCAAGUUGAUCAAUUUGGCUCGGAUUCUUGGAAGUUGGAUCCAGUUGUUGAACUUCUUAAAGGAGGAGCUGUUGGAGUCAUUCCCACUGACACUCUGUAUGCAAUAGUUUGUGAUCUGAG